UCUUUGCUGACGAGUGGCGGACGGGUGAGUAAUGUCUGGGAAACUGCCUGAUGGAGGGGGAUAACUACUGGAAACGGUAGCUAAUACCGCAUAACGUCGCAAGACCAAAGAGGGGGACCUUCGGGCCUCUUGCCAUCGGAUGUGCCCAGAUGGGAUUAGCUAGUAGGUGGGGUAACGGCUCACCUAGGCGACGAUCCCUAGCUGGUCUGAGAGGAUGACCAGCCACACUGGAACUGAGACACGGUCCAGACUCCUACGGGAGGCAGCAGUGGGGAAUAUUGCACAAUGGGCGCAAGCCUGAUGCAGCCAUGCCGCGUGUAUGAAGAAGGCCUUCGGGUUGUAAAGUACUUUCAGCGGGGAGGAAGGGAGUAAAGUUAAUACCUUUACU
rnacentral:rRNA from 1 species